UGGUGUCAGCCAGAUUUUGACUCUACCAUUUCUUGGCUUUUUGACAUAGGCAUAGUAAUUAGACCUCCAGAAGCCUUGGUUUUCUCAUCUAUAUACUAUGAUAAUAAUAGAACCUACAUCUUGAGACUUUUGAGGAUUAAAUGAGAUAUUGGAUGUCCAGUGUUGAGCAUAGUGCCUAGACAUACUAAGUGUUUGAUAAAUGUUAGCUCUUAUUACUAUUACUGUUUCCUUUCUUUUAAGAUCCAUUUACCCCCCACCCCCCAAAACCUUCCCUUGGCAAAAGAAUACCAACGCUAGCAAUUAAAAAACAAGAAACAAAGCAGCAGACUGAUGGCCUUGGUACACUUGAAUUAGCUUUAGCAGAAGAGAUAUGGAGGAGCCAUAGAACAUUAAGGAUGAAUUCAGGAAGACCCGAGACCAUGGAGAACUUGCCUGCUCUCUACACUAUUUUCCAAGGAGAGG